rnacentral:other from 8 species
UGAUACCUGGGAUGUGCGAAGUUCUUACCAAUUUUGAACCUACAUUAGACUAAAGGGAUUCCAAUAUUUUUAAGCGGAUGUCAUGCCUCCUUUUUAAGCGUGGAAGGCAGAAGUUUAAGUGAGGUUGCCCACCUAGCAUUGCUAGGCGUCAAUAAGUAAGAGACGGCAUCUUGGGGUCAC